rnacentral:piRNA from 1 species
UUGUAGCAGAAGUCUGGUGGUCUC